rnacentral:tRNA from 1 species
AUUUAUUUAGUAUACAAUAGUACCCUUGAUUUCCAAUCAAAAAGUCUAAUAAAUUAGAAUAAAUA